UUGCUUUGAAUAUCACAGGUACUAAUAUUGGGUUGAUUUAGAGAAGAUUAAUAUGUCCACUGCCAAGGAUGACACACAAAUCUGUGAGCUGUUCCUUAUUUUU